rnacentral:rRNA from 1 species
UACCAGCACCCCGAGUGGUCGGCACGUUUAUUGGGCCUAAAGCAUCCGUAGCCGGUUCUACAAGUCUUCCGUUAAAUCCACCUGCUUAACAGAUGGGCUGCGGAAGAUACUAUAGAGCUAGGAGGCGGGAGAGGCAAGCGGUACUCGAUGGGUAGGGGUAAAAUCCGUUGAUCCAAUGAAGACCACCAGUGGCGAAGGCGGCUUGCCAGAACGCGCUCGACGGUGAGGGAUGAAAGCUGGGGGAGCAAACCGG